GGUUGUGUGGCUCAGUGGUUAUGCUGCACUCUUACAUUAUGUCCCGGUGGUCGCCGGUUCGACUCCCGCAGGAGUCA